CCCUGUUUAUCAAAAACAUUUCUUUUAGAGAGGAAUUAAAAGUAGGGCCUGCCCCCUGCAAUGUAAAGGGCCGCAGUAUUUUGACUGUGCAAAGGUAGCAUAAUCAUUUGUUUUUUAAUUGAAAACUGGAAUGAAAGGUUUAAUAAAAAAAAUAUUUAUUGUAUCUAAAGUUUGAAAUUUAUGGAAGAAUAAAAAAGUUCUUAUAAAUCUAGGGGACGAUAAGACCCUAUUAAGCUUUAAUAUAAAUUUAAGAGGUUUAAAACAAAAAGUUUAAAAAUAUUAUAUUUUACUGGGGUGGUAAAUGAACAAUUUAUAAUAAAAAAAAUUAGGAUCCAUUAUUAAUGCAAAUAGAUUAAGUUACUAUAGGGAUAACAGCAUAAUUCUUUUUAAGAGUUCUUAUCAAUGAAAGAGAUUAUGACCUCGAUGUUGAAUUAAUUUAUCUAUUAGAUGAAGCUGUCUAAAGUGAUAGUCUGUUCCACUAUAAAAUAAUUACAUGAUCUGAGUUCAAACCGGAGA
rnacentral:rRNA from 1 species